GACGAACGCUGGCGGCAGGCCUAACACAUGCAAGUCGAACGAGUGGCGGACGGGUGAGUAAUGUCUGGGAAACUGCCCGAUGGAGGGGGAUAACUACUGGAAACGGUAGCUAAUACCGCAUACCAUCGGAUGUGCCCAUAUGUGAUUAGCUAGUAGGUGGGGUAACGGCUCACCUAGGCGACGAUCCCUAGCUGGUCUGAGAGGAUGACCAGCAACACUGGAACUGAGACACGGUCCAGACUCCUACGGGAGGCAGCAGUGGGGAAUAUUGCACAAUGGGCGCAAGCCUGAUGCAGACAUGGCGCGUGUAUGAAGAAGGCCUUCGGGUUGUAAAGUACUUUCAGCGAGGAGGCGGGAGGCGAAGAAGAAGCACCGGCUAACUCCGUGCCAGCAGCCGCGGUAAUAG
rnacentral:rRNA from 1 species